rnacentral:rRNA from 1 species
GGUUACGAUCAUACCAGCACUAAUGCACCGGAUCCUAUCAGAACUCCGCAGUUAAGCGUGCUUGGGCGAGAGUAGUACUAGGAUGGGUGACCCCCUGGGAAGUCCUCGUGUUACAACCCC